GCCGGACGGACCUGAUCGUGUUAUUGGGUAAUUGGCUAUCGGAUCGGAUACCCGAUCGUUGGCAAGACCAUUGAGCUCAGCUGAGUUAAACAUAAUCGCGACACCUUGUCAGUAUAAAGUAUAUAUACCAUACCAUACAUGUAUUAUACGUUCACUUCAAAUUACAUGAACGCGAGCUCGAUAAUUAUUAUCUUUAACAAAUAUGUACUUUGCUGUGGUAAAGACUCGACCUAUCGAUACAUCAUUUUUACUUAUCUUCCCCUUCUAUUUCUAUCUCAUCUGCGGUUAUAUUCAAUCAGUUUUUGUAUGUAAUAAAAACAAUAAUAAUAAGGGAAAAGACCGCACGAUUUGCUCGACAUUAAAAAUCAAUUUAGGUUAGGUAAACAUCAGUUGGAGUAUUGAUUCCAAAUUUUGAUUAACUUGGACCUAAAGAAGCAUCAUCACUUGUUCAACUUUCUCAGGGGCUAUCAGUGCGUAUAAAAUCGACCAAGAAAAACGCUCAAGGAGGCACGUGCCUUGAAGGUUUAAAAGAUGAAGGAUUAGAGGUGCAAAGAUCACUUCGACAUCAACUAAAAGUGAACAACUUCUUCUCAGUAAUCAAAGUAUUUCCUCUUGUUGACUACUGAAACUAAACCAAACUAUGUGCUCAAGCAGGUGCACAAGUUUUCCACGAGUGUGGAAAGCUUUCAUCAAAGAUAAAGAAACGAGCCUUUAAAAGGGAUUAUGACCUUUAAUCUUAAUUAUAGUGGAGUUAAUUAUGACUUUGUGAAUUUGAAUGAGAUAUUUUAUGUCUUUUUUUUUUGCUGACAAAUGUUUUAUCAUUUUUUAUAUCAAUUGAGAUAAUGAGAAAUUAGGAUUUUUUUUUUUCUAUUUUAAGACUGAUGAAGAUUAGUCUAGCAUUAUUCUUUUAGCUUAUUAGAGUUGUUUUGAAAAUAAUUCUAAGAUAAAUAAGUCAUUAAA